rnacentral:rRNA from 1 species
UUGAAGAGUUUGAUCAUGGCUCAGAUUGAACGCUGGCGGCAGGCCUAACACAUGCAAGUCGAGCGGUAGCACAGAGAGCUUGCUCUCGGGUGACGAGCGGCGGACGGGUGAGUAAUGUCUGGGAAACUGCCUGAUGGAGGGGGAUAACUACUGGAAACGGUAGCUAAUACCGCAUAACGUCGCAAGACCAAAGUGGGGGACCUUCGGGCCUCAUGCCAUCAGAUGUGCCCAGAUGGGAUUAGCUAGUAGGUGGGGUAACGGCUCACCUAGGCGACGAUCCCUAGCUGGUCUGAGAGGAUGACCAGCCACACUGGAACUGAGACACGGUCCAGACUCCUACGGGAGGCAGCAGUGGGGAAUAUUGCACAAUGGGCGCAAGCCUGAUGCAGCCAUGCCGCGUGUGUGAAGAAGGCCUUCGGGUUGUAAAGCACUUUCAGCGGGGAGGAAGGCGUUAAGGUUAAUAACCUUGGCGAUUGACGUUACCCGCAGAAGAAGCACCGGCUAACUCCGUGCCAGCAGCCGCGGUAAUACGGAGGGUGCAAGCGUUAAUCGGAAUUACUGGGCGUAAAGCGCACGCAGGCGGUCUGUCAAGUCGGAUGUGAAAUCCCCGGGCUCAACCUGGGAACUGCAUUCGAAACUGGCAGGCUAGAGUCUUGUAGAGGGGGGUAGAAUUCCAGGUGUAGCGGUGAAAUGCGUAGAGAUCUGGAGGAAUACCGGUGGCGAAGGCGGCCCCCUGGACAAAGACUGACGCUCAGGUGCGAAAGCGUGGGGAGCAAACAGGAUUAGAUACCCUGGUAGUCCACGCCGUAAACGAUGUCGAUUUGGAGGUUGUGCCCUUGAGGCGUGGCUUCCGGAGCUAACGCGUUAAAUCGACCGCCUGGGGAGUACGGCCGCAAGGUUAAAACUCAAAUGAAUUGACGGGGGCCCGCACAAGCGGUGGAGCAUGUGGUUUAAUUCGAUGCAACGCGAAGAACCUUACCAGGUCUUGACAUCCACAGAACUUUCCAGAGAUGGAUUGGUGCCUUCGGGAACUGUGAGACAGGUGCUGCAUGGCUGUCGUCAGCUCGUGUUGUGAAAUGUUGGGUUAAGUCCCGCAACGAGCGCAACCCUUAUCCUUUGUUGCCAGCGGUCCGGCCGGGAACUCAAAGGAGACUGCCAGUGAUAAACUGGAGGAAGGUGGGGAUGACGUCAAGUCAUCAUGGCCCUUACGACCAGGGCUACACACGUGCUACAAUGGCAUAUACAAAGAGAAGCGACCUCGCGAGAGCAAGCGGACCUCAUAAAGUAUGUCGUAGUCCGGAUUGGAGUCUGCAACUCGACUCCAUGAAGUCGGAAUCGCUAGUAAUCGUAGAUCAGAAUGCUACGGUGAAUACGUUCCCGGGCCUUGUACACACCGCCCGUCACACCAUGGGAGUGGGUUGCAAAAGAAGUAGGUAGCUUAACCUUCGGGAGGGCGCUUACCACUUUGUGAUUCAUGACUGGGGUGAAGUCGUAACAAGGUAACCGUAGGGGAACCUGCGGUUGGAUCACCUCCUU